rnacentral:rRNA from 1 species
GAUGAACGCUAGCGGCAGGCCUAAUACAUGCAAGUCGAACGGUCCUUUCGGGGAUAGUGGCAAACGGGUGCGUAACGCGUAAGCAACCUGCCUCCAACUGGGGGAUAGCCCGGCGAAAGCUGGGGUAAACCCGCACGGUCCAGUGGUCUCACCUGAGGCAACUGGUAAACAUUCAUGGGUUGGAGAGGGGCUUGCGUCUGAUUAGGUAGUUGGUGAGGUAACGGCUCACCAAGCCGAUGAUCAGUAGGGGUUCUGAGAGGAUUGGCCCCCACAUGGGUACUGAGAUACGGACCCAACUCCUACGGGAGGCAGCAGGAGGGAAUAUUGGGCAAUGGAGGCAACUCUGACCCAGCCAUGCCGCGUGAAGGAUGAAGGCGCUCAACGUUGUAAACUUCUUUUAUCAAGGAAGAACUUCAGUCCUGGGGGAUUGAUUGACGGUACUUGAGGAAUAAGCACCGGCUAACUCCGUGCCAGCCGCCGCCGUAAUAC